ACGAACGCUGGCGGCGUGCUUAACACAUGCAAGCGAACGAUGAAGCCGCUUCGGUGGUGGAUUAGUGGCGAACGGGUGAGUAACACGUGGCAAUCUGCCCUUCACUCUGGGACAAGCCCUGGAAACGGGGUCUAAUACCGGAUAANACUCCUGCCUGCAUGGGUGGGGUUGAAAGCUCCGGCGGUGAAGGAUGAGCCCGCGCCUAUCAGCUUUUGGUGGGGUAUGGCCUACCAAGGCGACGACGGGUAGCCGGCCUGAGAGGGCGACCGGCCACACUGGGACUGAGACACGGCCCAGACUCCUACGGGAGGCAGCAGUGGGGAUAUUGCACAAUGGGCGAAAGCCUGAUGCAGCGACGCCGCGUGAGGGAUGACGGCCUUCGGGUUGUAAACCUCUUCAGCAGGGAAGAAGCGCAAGUGACGGUACCUGCAGAAGAAGCGCCGGCUAACUACGUGCCAGCAGCCGCGGAAUACGUAGGGCGCAAGCGUUGCCGGAAUUAUUGGGCGUAAAGAGCUCGUAGGCGGCUUGUCACGUCGGAUGUGAAAGCCCGGGGCUUAACCCCGGGUCUGCAUUCGAUACGGGCUAGCUAGAGUGUGGUAGGGGAGAUCGGAAUUCCUGGUGUAGCGGUGAAAUGCGCAGAUAUCAGGAGGAACACCGGUGGCGAAGGCGGAUCUCUGGGCCAUUACUGACGCUGAGGAGCGAAAGCGUGGGGAGCGAACAGGAUUAGAUACCCUGGUAGUCCCGCCGUAAACGUUGGGAACUAGGUGUUGGCGACAUUCCACGUCGUCGGUGCCGCAGCUAACGCAUUAAGUUCCCCGCCUGGGGAGUACGGCCGCAAGGCUAAAACUCAAAGGAAUUGACGGGGGCCCGCACAAGCAGCGGAGCAUGUGGCUUAAUUCGACGCAACGCGAAGAACCUUACCAAGGCUUGACAUAUACCGGAAAGCAUCAGAGAUGGUGCCCCCCUUGUGGUCGGUAUACAGGUGGUGCAGGCUGUGUCACUCGUGUCGUGAGAGUUGGGUUAAGUCCCGCAACGAGGCAACCCUUGUUCUGUGUUGCCAGCAUGCCUUUCGGGGUGAUGGGGACUCACAGGAGACUGCCGGGGUCAACUCGGAGGAAGGUGGGGACGACGUCAAGUCACAUGCCCCUUAUGUCUUGGGCUGCACACGUGCUACAAUGGCCGGUACAAUGAGCUGCGAUGCCGUGAGGCGGAGCGAAUCUCAAAAGCCGGUCUCAGUUCGGAUUGGGGUCUGCAACUCGACCCCAUGAAGUCGGAGUUGCUAGUAAUCGCAGAUCAGCAUUCUGCGGUGAAUACGUUCCCGGGCCUUGUACACACCGCCCGUCACGUCAGAAAGUCGGUAACACCCGAAGCCGGUGGCCCAACCUUGUGGGGGGAGCUGUCGAAGGUGGGACUGGCGAUUGGGACGAAGUCGUAACAAGGUACCGUACCGGA
rnacentral:rRNA from 1 species